GGUAAUUCACUUGAGAAACGUUCAAAUGAAUUACCUCAAAUAUAUAUUAUAGAGUAUACAAGAUAUUGCAACAUGGGGGCAAAAUGUUGCUGAAUCUUCAAAUGCGAUGAUGUUUUAUAAACCUUCGUACCUUACCGUAAUAAUUAAACAACCUUUUCAAUGAAAUCGAGCAGAGAAUAUAUUGCAUGAGACAUUCGUUAAUUAUCUUGUUUUUAUCUAGGUAUUUUUGAAUUAUAUCGCAUGUAAUAAAUCGUUUGACAAUGUUACAGAACACUGCAUGUGUUAUAACAUUGAGGGGUGUUACAGCACAAUGCACGGUUCAAACGAUAAGCUUUCCGCGAGUCUUAUAAUCUUCAAAGAGUUGUUCACUUAACAUACAUGUUCAGUCAUGUACAGUGUCGAGCGUACGGACAGUGAAAGAACGCGAACUCUGGCAGUGGUAUGUGCUAAACAAUUGUUUGUUUCCAUUAAAUAACUCCUUCUUCAGUCUUUUUUUAGGUACAAGAGAUGAAGAUCAGGAAGAAGAUAGAGGAGUACGUUAUUAUUUUUCCUGUCCUUAUCUUAACUUGUUUUUAGAUUUUUCGUUUAGAUGAGGAGGAGGCUGAUGAAAAGUAGAGAAGUAUGCUGACGGAGAGACAAGAAGGAUGCAGAAAAAGAGACGAGGAUGCAGAUGAAGAGAAAAGGAGGAUGCAGAUGAAAGACGAGGAUGCAGAUAAAGAGAAAAGGAGGAUGCAGAUGAAGGGACGAGGAGGAUGAAAAUGAAUGGACAAGGAGGAUCAAGAACGGACAAGGAGGAUCAAGAAGGAUAUAGAGAAACAUGUCGAGCGUACGGACAGUGAAAGAACGCGAACUCUGGCAGUGGUACAAGAGAUGAAGAUCAAGAAGAAGAUAGAGGAAUGAGGAGGAGGCUGAUGAAAAGAAGAGGAUGCUGACGGAGAGACGAGGAAGAUGCUGACGGAGCUACGAGGAGGAUGCUGAUGGUGCUACGAAGAGGAUGCUGA